rnacentral:tRNA from 1 species
GCUACUUUGGCAGAUAAGUGCGGUAGAUUUAGAAUCUUCUUAUGUAAUUUUGUUUUUACAGGUAGUA